UACGGAAGGGGCAAGCGUUGUUCGGAAUCAUUGGGCGUAAAGGGCGCGCAGGUGGUUCUGUAUGUCUGCCGUGAAAGCAUACAGCCCAACUGUAUUGUGUCGGUAGAAACUGCAGGACUUGAGGCUGGGAGGGGCUAGUGGAAUUCCCUGUGUAGCGGUGAAAUGCGUAGAGAUGGGGGAGAACACUCGUGGCGAAGGCGGCCAGCUAGACCAGUUCUGACACUGAGGCGCGACAGCGUGGGGAGCAAACAGG
rnacentral:rRNA from 1 species